GAUGAACGCUGGCGGCGUGCUUAACACAUGCAAGUCGAACGGAAAGGCCCAAGCUUGCUUGGGUACUCGAGUGGCGAACGGGUGAGUAACACGUGGGUGAUCUGCCCUGCACUUCGGGAUAAGCCUGGGAAACUGGGUCUAAUACUGGAUAGGACCACUUCCUGGAUGUUGUGGGGGAAAGUUUUUUCGGUGUGGGAUGAGCUCGCGGCCUAUCAGCUUGUUGGUGGGGUAAUGGCCUACCAAGGCGUCGACGGGUAGCCGGCCUGAGAGGGUGUACGGCCACAUUGGGACUGAGGUACGGCCCAGACUCCUACGGGAGGCAGCAGUGGGGAAUAUUGCACAAUGGGCGCAAGCCUGAUGCAGCGACGCCGCGUGGGGGAUGACGGCCUUCGGGUUGUAAACUCCUUUCGCUAGGGACGAAGCGUUUUGUGACGGUACCUGGAGAAGAAGCACCGGCUAACUACGUG
rnacentral:rRNA from 1 species